rnacentral:misc_RNA from 1 species
GUAUUUUGUUAUAUGUUCUCCCCAAUUGCUUGGAUUGAAUUUUAAUUUGAUACAUACUAAGACGUUGUUUUUAUAUAAAAAUUGAGACGAAAUGAAUGCAUCUCCGUUGUGCCUCGUUGCCAAGGCAGUUCUGGAAAGCGCUCAUUCGUUAAACAGUUCACAGGUAUUAGAAGGAAUUAUGAGGGUUUGGGUCCGAAGACACCAGUUUAUUCAAUAAUGAUCCUUCCGCAGGUUCACCUACGGAAA